rnacentral:rRNA from 1 species
GACGAACGCUGGCGGCAUGCUUAACACAUGCAAGUCGAACGGGAAGGCCCUUUUUUUGUGGGGUACUCGAGUGUCGAACGGGAGAGUAACACGUUGGUAACCGGCCCAUAACUGUGGGAUAACUUCAGUAAACUGGGGGUAAUAGCGGAAAGGAGCGACUCCUGCAUGGGGGGGGUUGGAAAGUUUCGACGUUGGUGGAUGGACAGGUGGCUUCUCAGGCUGUGGGUGGGGGAGGGUCUUACCAAGUGUUUGACGGGUAGCCGGCCGGGACGGGGGACGGGCCACAUCGGUACUAAGGUGACGCCGAGCCGACUCCGGGAGGCAGCAGUGGGGAAUAUUGCACAGCGGGCGGAGGCCUGAUGAAGCAGCGCCGCGUGGGGGAUGAAGACCUUCCGGUUGUAAUCCGCUUUCGCCUGUGAAGAAGCGUGAGUGACGGUAAUGGGUAAAGAAGCACCGGCUAACUACGUG